ACAAUUUGGUAGUGAAAGGAGAGUUCCGUGGUUCAGGUUAGAUUGGCUGCAGAUUUAUUCGCCAACACUCCCCUUGGGACAAACGGAGUAACUUUUGCUGGAUCCCACCUCUGCACCGCUGAAGCCAUUUCUGGCAGGUCUGGAAAUGGUAAGGAAUCCUCCGGAAGGUUAAGUAUUUGUAGAGCUUGUUAUGAGCGCCACCGGUAAUGAAUAUUGCACUAUUUAAGCAGUGCUGUGAAGGGCCGUAGAGAUCGUCUCCAUUGGAGAGUGUCACCCGAGAGA